AUGAACGCUGGCGGCGUGCUUAACACAUGCACGUCGAACGGGAAACCUUUUAAUGAAGCUUCGGCAGAUUUAGCUGGUUUCUAGUGGCGGACGGGUGAGUAACGCGUGGGUAACCUGCCUUAUACAGGGGGAUAACAGUCAGAAAUGACUGCUAAUACCGCAUAAGCGCACAGGACCGCAUGGUCCGGUGUGAAAAACUCCGGUGGUAUAAGAUGGACCCGCGUUGGAUUAGCUUGUUGGUGGGGUAACGGCUCACCAAGGCGACGAUCCAUAGCCGGCCUGAGAGGGUGAACGGCCACAUUGGGACUGAGACACGGCCCAGACUCCUACGGGAGGCAGCAGUGGGGAAUAUUGCACAAUGGGGGAAACCCUGAUGCAGCGACGCCGCGUGAAGGAAGAAGUAUCUCGGUAUGUAAACUUCUAUCAGCAGGGAAGAUAGUGACGGUACCUGACUAAGAAGCCCCGGCUAACUACGUG
rnacentral:rRNA from 1 species